GCACUCAAGCUUUCAAUGCACUCAAAAGGCAGUAACUGCAACAUAAAAAAACUAAUCAAAUCAAUCCAACUUUCAAAUAAUUUCCUUGUAAUUUAAUAAAUAACUUACCAUUAGAGGGAUUAUAAACCCCGGGCAAUGCCAUUUUGUCUUUGGUUUCGCACCAAGACUCUUUCGCACUUGAUCAACUAUUCGAUCAAAAGUGUAUCGACCCCACGGAAAUCGUUCACAGAAACGUAAAUCAUCAACCAUGUCGAACAAAUCAUGGCUGAUUUGUUCGGAUGACAGGGCAUGAUCUAAGAUUCCGGCCAUCAAGUAUAGAAUAACCAAUCUCUUACGAUCUGCUACCCUCUGGAUUGGCAUAUAUCUCAAUUUCUCCACCACAUCAUUCAAACAAACCUUCUUACGUCCGAAAGUCUUUUUCCUGAACUCACUCUUUUUGAAGCUCUCUCAUUCUUCUGGAUAUUUUCCACACUUCAAACCACAUAUAAGUGUGUGCUCAAUGAUUGAGUACCUCGCGAGCACACCAUUGAGCACGAACCACAAUUCCUUCUUGUUUUUCGCUUUAACAGAGCGGUUAAUGAGAACUCCCGCAGGCGCCAUCUUUAACUGUGGAUCCCAUUGCGCAUGGAAUAGAUGUUGGAACUGUGAUUAUUUCUCGAAGUACGUCCAUUCGUCCUGUGUCAGUACUUCUUUAAGCGUCUUCAGUGUCUCAUAGGGAUAACACUUCGUAUUGAUCUUUGAAGAAAACUGAAUGUCUUCGAAUUUGUGGACAAAUGGAAGGUGCAAAAUAAAAUAAUUGUUCGUCAUUGUGAUCUUUGUGACCUGGGACCUAGAACCUGUGGCUCAUGUGACCUAUGUGACCCGUGACCCAUGUGACCCAUGACCCGUGACCCCUGACCCAUGUGACUCGUGUGCGGUGUUGUGAGAUAUUAUACUAUUACCAUAUAAAUCUUUGUGACCCAUGUGACCUGUGACUUAGGAAAUCAUUAAACUUGCCAAGGUAUUCUGAAAUCCCACAUCCGCACUCUAACUUUCUAUUUCAAAUUCCUAAAACCCAAAUUAUAUAUUUCAAAACACAAAACCCUAACUUUAUAUUCAGAAAUCCCAAAACUUUAAUUUUCAAUUUCGAAAUCCCUAAACCCUAAAUUCCUAUUUUGAAAUCCCAAACCAUCCAACAAGUUUAAUGAUUUUACUCCAGGAUCAGGUCAUAAAAGAAAAAAACGGAGAAGAAGAUGUAGACAAACCUAUCGUUUCUAAUGGGAGAUCUUUGUCCGACGAUGACGGCGAUGAACCGGCCUGAGACGCAGAUGAAGACGAAGCAGAAAGCACAUGUGUUCUUGGAUACAUGGGUGUUUGAUUUUUCACAGAAAUCACAAGAGAGAUACCGAAAUUAGAAGAAAAAUUGCCUCACUUUUAUGAAAAUCCCGAAAGAGAAAUCACGCAAGAGAGAGAGAUAGAGUUUUCGAAAUGUUGCAAGAGAGAGAGAGAUCGGGUUGCAAGAGAGAGUGGGAGUGUACCGAGGGAGAGAGAGAGAGCGUUUUUUUAUUCUUAAAAAGUUAGUCGUUUUUUAAUCGAAAAGGUAUGUCAUUUUCGUCUUUCAUUUAAAAUUUAGGGAUAUAUAUGUCUUUAGCUCAUUUCAACUUUUAUUUUUUUAGAUUUAUUUUUUGGAGGGUAUGCUAUGAAGUAAGGGUAGCAUUUUAAGGGCAUUUCUGCUAUAUUCCCUUGUUAAUUAUGUAGAUCUGGGUUUGUUCCUUCGAUCCCGUGAGAUCCUUAAAGGAGAAAUUCGCUCUGUUUCUGUUAUUGGCUUCCUUUACGUGUAAAAUGCGUUGGUUUUGCGUUAUGAACGAGGUUUAUUCUCAUGGAUCAGAAUCGAACUAAACGUAUUUGUCGUGGAAGUGAGAAUCAAUUCGAUCUCCCUGACUCAAUUCUUCGUUUGUGCGCUUUGUUUGAUGCGGUUGGCAGGUGUAACAGUAGCUGUGUCACGUGUGUAUGUGGGUAACUUGGAUCCACGAGUUACUGAGCGUGAACUCGAGGAUGAGUUUUGCGAUUAUGGAACCAUCCGUAGUGUUUGGGUUGCUCGAAGACCGCAUGAUUAUGCCUUUAUUGAUUUCGAUGACACGAGAGAUACCCGAGAUGCCAUUCGUGAUUUAGAUGGUGUGCAUAGGUUUCCUUGUCGAAGUCGCUUUCUUUUUGCCGGCAUUCUCAUUUUUUGGAUAUUGAAGAGUGGCAACCUUUGAAGGGAUCCAAAUAGUUUUGGGACAAAUGGCUGUCAUUUCUUAAUUCUUAUAGAGGUUGUUCAUUCAUCGUGUAGUGAUUUGUUUUGUUGCUCUUGGGAAGGCUCUUGAGUGAGUUAUUAUGCAUGUGUGUGUGCUAUAUUGCCUAUGGCAAGCAAGAAUGGAUGGAGUGUGGAACAAUCUCACAACCGUGGUGGCGGCGCCGGUGGGGGUCGAGGCGGCGGCCGUGACCGUGGUGGUUCUGACCUGAAGUGCUAUGAGUGUGGUGAGCCUAGUCACUUUGCAUGUGAAUGUCGUUCUCGUGGUGGCUCUGGUAGGAUGUGCAGCCGUAGUCACAGCCCAAGAUACAUGAGGAGCCCUAGCUAUGGCCGAAGGAGUUACAGCCCUGGUGGAAGGUCUCCAAGGCGACAUAGUCAUUCACCUCGUGGUCGAAGCUACAGCAGGUCACCGGGUUAUCGAGGAUGUGAGGAGGUGCCAUAUGCUAACGGUUCUUUCAUUUCCAUGAUGGGCGAGUUUGGAUCCCUCGGGUCGAAAAUCUUCUUCAUCGUGCUAUUGAGUCGGGUUUUUUUUUUCUUUGGCUGGAAAAUUUGAGAAGAUGAUGAAUGAGCGAAAGCAAAAGGUAAAGUUGCGAACUGUCUGGUUGGAGGCAAGGUUUGGAGUUCCAUGGAACUAACUGCCUUUGGAUCUUUUUUCACAACAUCAUUUUGCACUGGCUGCUCUUUUCUUUGGCUGCACCUCUCCUUUACUUACCUCUUAAUUGAUAAAUUAUUGAGCAAUUUUUUGGUGUUACAUUUAUUUGUUGAAAAAAUAUUAAUGAAGGUUCAUUUUUUUAACUUCA